AAACAGGAUUAGAUACCCUGGUAGUCCACGCCCUAAACGAUGUCUACUAGUUGUCGGGUCUUAAUUGACUUGGUAACGCAGCUAACGCGUGAAGUAGACCGCCUGGGGAGUACGGUCGCAAGAUUAAAACUCAAAGGAAUUGACGGGGACCCGCACAAGCGGUGGAUGAUGUGGAUUAAUUCGAUGCAACGCGAAAAACCUUACCUACCCUUGACAUGGCUGGAAUCCUCGAGAGAUUGGGGAGUGCUCGAAAGAGAACCAGUACACAGGUGCUGCAUGGCUGUCGUCAGCUCGUGUCGUGAGAUGUUGGGUUAAGUCCCGCAACGAGCGCAACCCUUGUCAUUAGUUGCUACGAAAGGGCACUCUAAUGAGACUGCCGGUGACAAACCGGAGGAAGGUGGGGAUGACGUCAAGUCCUCAUGGCCCUUAUGGGUAGGGCUUCACACGUCAUACAAUGGUACAUACAGAGCGCCGCCAACCCGCGAGGGGGAGCUAAUCGCAGAAAGUGUAUCGUAGUCCGGAUUGUAGUCUGCAACUCGCCUGCAUGAAGUUGGAAUCGCUAGUAAUCGCGGAUCAGCAUGUCGCGGUGAAUACGUUCCCGGGUCUUGUACACACCGCCCGUCACACCAUGGGAGCGGGUUUCUACCAGA
rnacentral:rRNA from 1 species